GUCUCACUCUCAGCCCAUCACCUGGGCAGAACCCUGCUGAUCCUGCAGAUCACUGGACCCUCAGGACACUGAGGUGUGAAUGCCAGAAGGGGACAGUGGGACAUCAGGGAGGCUGCCACCCCAGGGCCCUUGCCCCGGCUGCGUCCGAGGUGGGUAUAACCCUGGGGCUCCAGGGGGCCGUGGGGCAGCAGCCAGGCAUGGUGAGGAGACAGUCCUGGACCCAGGUGACCACAGAACCCGGCGGGGCGAGCUUCAGCCUCACCUCUCACAAGCCCCGGCUCCAGGCAGCCCCAACCCCACCCCCAUCCCUAACUUGCCGGCGCCCGGAGUUCAUGGGCCUGGCCUAGACUUCGGUCACCACAGGGACUGAGGUUCUCCAGAUUUCAAAAGCCUGUGAUCUGCGGUUGUGUUGCCCCGUUCCCCCCGCGGCAGACAAGCCCAGACACACACGGCCCAGACACCCCAGAGGCAAAGGAAUUCAGCAAACAUUUAUUGACCCUUGGUCCUCAUCAAGGAGGCAGUGAGAGAUGAACUGGAAGUGACCAGGGGCUGCCAGCCACACCCCCUCCACCGAGAAGAUGACUUUCACCUACUAUUCAGCAGAAAACCAAAAGCCAAGAUAAAAAUCGCUGGGGAGGGGCAGGGAUGGGGGACCGGGCCAGACCCCAGCUGCUGAGCAGCCGCCACCUGAGGUGGGGAGGGGCAGGAAAUGUCUGGAGAGUAGGGAGGGCAGAAAGGACCCCCACGUGAGGGGGCACCCCACAUCUGGGGCCACAGGAUGCAGGGUGGGGAGGGCAGAAAGGCCCCCCCGCGGGAAGAGGCACCCCACAUCUGGGGCCACAGGAUGCAGGGUGGGGAGGGCAGAAAGGACCCCCCGCGGGAGGGGGCACCUCACGUCUGGGGCCACAGGAUGCAGGGUGGGGAGGGCAGAAAGAACCCCCGCGUGCCUAAGCAGGUUCUGGUGGGCGUCCUGGCUGGGUGUAGGCAGAGGCUGGCUCCCGGAGGCCCGAGGGGGGCUCUGAGAAGGGGGCGGCCUGAGGGGGAGCCCAGGACAGCCCCUAUGCUGCCCCCGUCCAGCCCGGCCCCUCAGGCUGUGUUUCCUGAGACCUCGCUAGUCUAACCCAAACCUCCCAGCUCUGUCAUUCAAAGGGAUGGAUUAGGUCCCCGUGGGUCCAUUUCCCUGUUUUGGGUGCUGAGGACAGAGCUUCUGGACAGACUCAGCCCUCGCCCUCUGGAGCCCCGUCCAGCUGGGCCCGGAUGAUGCACCACCCAGCCUGCGGCAGAUGGGAUGGACGACAAGUUAGGAGGAAACAAGGGGGAAAAGCCAGGGGGCAGGUGGUGUGGAGCACAAAGGAACCCAGACUGCGAAGGGACUGCCCAAGGACUGUGAUUCCCCCAGAACCUGAGUGGUCCCUGGGCAGCUAUGCAGGGCCCUUUCGCCACAGUGGAGAGGGCAUUCAAGGCCAGAGCCUGGUGGAGAGAUGCCCUGCCCUCUUGGGACCCACAGCCCGGGUGACUUUGUGGGGUGCCUCUCUUACCCUGAGCUCCUCCCCACACUCCCAGCUUCGCUGCCCCAGGCCCUCCUUCCCCUUCUGCACUGAUGCCUUCUCUGAGCAACUCCCCUCCCCCGGCCACGCUGAGCUUCCAGCUGCCCCCAAGAAGACCGUCCCUUCCUGUGCUGCUGAGGAGGCCUCCCUCACGGGGUCUCAAGCUCCCAAGGGGAAGGGGGCCUCCCUCACGGGGUCUCAAGCUCCCAAGGAGAAGGGGGCCUCCCUCAUGGGGUCUCAGGCUCCCAAGGGGAAGGGCUACUUUGAGGCUCUCCUGGGACCAGGACCCCCAGAGUAGGACUGCUGGGGGGACCAAGGGUGGGACCCCCAGCCCAAUGCUACCCCGCCCAGGGUCACUGGCCUGGCCCUCGGAGCUCAGGGAGGGGGCAGGGCAGCCAGGGGCCAGGGGUGGCCUGGCUUGUUGGGCCUGGG
rnacentral:lncRNA from 1 species